CGUACGGGCAUCUAUACAUGCAGUCGAGCGGACAGAUGGGAGCUUGCUCCCUGAUGUUAGCGGCGGACGGGUGAGUAACACGUGGGUAACCUGCCUGUAAGACUGGGAUAACUCCGGGAAACCGGGGCUAAUACCGGAUGCUUGUUUGAACCGCAUGGUUCAGACAUAAAAGGUGGCUUCGGCUACCACUUACAGAUGGACCCGCGGCGCAUUAGCUAGUUGGUGAGGUAACGGCUCACCAAGGCGACGAUGCGUAGCCGACCUGAGAGGGUGAUCGGCCACACUGGGACUGAGACACGGCCCAGACUCCUACGGGAGGCAGCAGUAGGGAAUCUUCCGCAAUGGACGAAAGUCUGACGGAGCAACGCCGCGUGAGUGAUGAAGGUUUUCGGAUCGUAAAGCUCUGUUGUUAGGGAAGAACAAGUGCCGUUCAAAUAGGGCGGCACCUUGACGGUACCUAACCAGAAAGCCACGGCUAACUACGUGCCAGCAGCCGCGGUAAUACGUAGGUGGCAAGCGUUGUCCGGAAUUAUUGGGCGUAAAGGGCUCGCAGGCGGUUUCUUAAGUCUGAUGUGAAAGCCCCCGGCUCAACCGGGGAGGGUCAUUGGAAACUGGGGAACUUGAGUGCAGAAGAGGAGAGUGGAAUUCCACGUGUAGCGGUGAAAUGCGUAGAGAUGUGGAGGAACACCAGUGGCGAAGGCGACUCUCUGGUCUGUAACUGACGCUGAGGAGCGAAAGCGUGGGGAGCGAACAGGAUUAGAUACCCUGGUAGUCCACGCCGUAAACGAUGAGUGCUAAGUGUUAGGGGGUUUCCGCCCCUUAGUGCUGCAGCUAACGCAUUAAGCACUCCGCCUGGGGAGUACGGUCGCAAGACUGAAACUCAAAGGAAUUGACGGGGGCCCGCACAAGCCGGUGGAGCAUGUGGGUUUAAUUCGAAAGCAACGCGAAGAACCCUUACCAGGUCUUUGACAUCCCUCUGACAUCCCUAGAGAUAGGGACGUUCCCCCUUCGGGGGGCAGAAGUGACAGGUGGGUGGCCAAUGAUUGGUCGUUCAGGCUUCGUGUCGUGAGAUGUGCGCUUAAGUUCCCGCAACGGAGGGCGGCUCUAUC
rnacentral:rRNA from 1 species